GACGAACGCUGGCGGCGUGCUUAACACAUGCAAGUCGAACGGAAAGGCCCUGCUUUUGUGGGGUGCUCGAGUGGCGAACGGGUGAGUAACACGUGAGUAACCUGCCCUUGACUUUGGGAUAACUUCAGGAAACUGGGGCUAAUACCGGAUAGGAGCUCCUGCUGCAUGGUGGGGGUUGGAAAGUUUCGGCGGUUGGGGAUGGACUCGCGGCUUAUCAGCUUGUUGGUGGGGUAGUGGCUUACCAAGGCUUUGACGGGUAGCCGGCCUGAGAGGGUGACCGGCCACAUUGGGACUGAGAUACGGCCCAGACUCCUACGGGAGGCAGCAGUGGGGAAUAUUGCACAAUGGGCGGAAGCCUGAUGCAGCAACGCCGCGUGCGGGAUGACGGCCUUCGGGUUGUAAACCGCUUUCGCCUGUGACGAAGCGUGAGUGACGGUAAUGGGUAAAGAAGCACCGGCUAACUACGUGCCAGCAGCCGCGGUGAUACGUAGGGUGCGAGCGUUGUCCGGAUUUAUUGGGCGUAAAGGGCUCGUAGGUGGUUGAUCGCGUCGGAAGUGUAAUCUUGGGGCUUAACCCUGAGCGUGCUUUCGAUACGGGUUGACUUGAGGAAGGUAGGGGAGAAUGGAAUUCCUGGUGGAGCGGUGGAAUGCGCAGAUAUCAGGAGGAACACCAGUGGCGAAGGCGGUUCUCUGGGCCUUUCCUGACGCUGAGGAGCGAAAGCGUGGGGAGCGAACAGGCUUAGAUACCCUGGUAGUCCACGCUGUAAACGGUGGGUACUAGGUGUGGGGUCCAUUCCACGGGUUCCGUGCCGUAGCUAACGCUUUAAGUACCCCGCCUGGGGAGUACGGCCGCAAGGCUAAAACUCAAAGGAAUUGACGGGGCCCCGCACAAGCGGCGGAGCAUGCGGAUUAAUUCGAUGCAACGCGUAGAACCUUACCUGGGUUUGACAUGGAUCGGGAGCGCUCAGAGAUGGGUGUGCCUCUUUUGGGGUCGGUUCACAGGUGGUGCAUGGCUGUCGUCAGCUCGUGUCGUGAGAUGUUGGGUUAAGUCCCGCAACGAGCGCAACCCUUGUUCACUGUUGCCAGCACGUCAUGGUGGGGACUCAGUGGAGACCGCCGGGGUCAACUCGUAGGAAGGUGGGGAGGACGUCAAGUCAUCAUGCCCCUCUAUGUCCCGGGCUUCACGCAUGCUACACUGGCUGGUACAGAGAGUGGCGAGCCUGUGAGGGUGAGAGAAUCUCGGAAAACCGCUCUCAGUUCUGAUAGGGGUGUGCACCUCUCCCUCACGAAGUCGGAGUGGCUAGUAAUAUCACAUCACACACACGCUGCGCGGAAUACGUUCUCCGGGGCU
rnacentral:rRNA from 1 species